UUAGAUGGUCAUAGAGGUUAUCCAUUCAAUUAAAACAGUAUUUAAAGACUAAUUAGCUACUAUAGUAUUUAUAAGUUUAAUGUAGUUCUUACUUGAAAGUUGAAACUUAAACGUGGAGAUUUAUGAUGCUAAAAGAUUUCUUCCUCCUAAAUUCCUAAACGAUACAAUAUUUGGUUCUCGCCUCCAAUUUAGUGAUGCACACUAUCUAAACUCAAACUUGUAUUAUCAUCAUCAAAGAAAGAAAAAGAAGUGGCUGUUAGAUGCUACACCUAGAAAGCUCAGCUAAAGUAGACUACCCAGAAGCCACCGCACUAUGCUACUCAUGGCGUUUCACUAUAGCGGAUUCAGACAGGUUUUCCAAAAGGAGCCUUAAUUAGAAAACAAGCAAAAGCAUAACAUUGGCAUGUGCGAUAAAACAGGUUUUCCGAGGCAUGUCCGAAUUUGAUUUAUUUUUAUAGUUCAUUAAUAAAAUGCAGGGAGACAUUCUUCUCCCUGUGGCCUACCAAAAA